rnacentral:lncRNA from 1 species
CCUGUCACGAGAUAUUAUAUUCUGUGUGGGCACCUCCAAGUGCAGGAACCAGAAGGACUCCCGAGGGGUGACAAAAGGACAGAAAGCCAAGAACCAGCACCAGAGCUGACGUAUGAGCAGGGUGAGCCCAAGCCUGGCACCUCAGAGGCGUACAGCCAGAAUAAGUAACUCAGAAUGAACAGUGGACGGGAGCGACUGGCAGGAAGAUUGCAAGAUGCCUGGUCUUUUUCUGGAAGAGUAAAAUAAGCCCUGAGAAGAGGGGCAGGUAUAGGAGAUCAAGAGAAAGACAAGCUAGCAUCGAACACUCGACUUCUCGUUUCCACCUUUUGGUUAGACUCACUCCUUUAUUCGAGUCAUCAGGCCCACCGAGUGCCUCGGUCCAGCUCUGUCCCCUCUCCAAGACUUCCGGAGCCCACCCAGCCUCUGAACCCUGGCUACUGCCCUACCCCUGUGUGGCAGUGGCAUCCCCGCCACGCACUCUCUCAAGGCCUCCAUUGCCUCCAGCCUGCGAGGUGAUGCCCUUGCUCCUCUGCCUUGAGAAAGGUCUGCCCUGCCAUCGUUCCUAGCAUGUGUCUGGUCUCCUACAGGACCUGGUGUGACACCCUGUGACCCAUAACCUCAGCAAGGGAAAGGGGGGCCAGGGCACUCGUUCUCUCUCUAAGCUCCCUGUCACCAGAUGUCAAGCCCUCACCCCAUCCUGCUGCUCUGUGGAUUCCCUUUCUAUUUCCUUCCACUUGCUGUGUGGUGGGGAACCUUCCUAUCCUCUUUCUUUCCUCUUCCACUUCCUGUAUGGCGGGGACCUUCCUGUCCUUUUUCUUUCCUCUUCCUUCCACUUCCUGUGUGGCGGGGACCUUCCUAUCCUCUUUCUUUCCUCUUCCUUCCACUUCCUGUGUGGCGGGGACCUUCCUUUCCUCUUUCUUUCCUAUUCCUAGCUCCCUUGCUCCCUGCUGUAGAAUUGAAUCCCAUCCAGUUCUGCAAUAAAGCCAAUUUUUCAGGGUGUCCACUGAAGCCUCUAAAUGAUGAGACAUGUCCCAUCGACGUUCUGAGACUCCCUUCCCUGGGGCUGACUCCUCAUCCGUCUCCCCUUCUCUCCUGACUUGGUGGUGCUAGCCACACUCCUCUAUCCCUGACCCUGUCAAUGUGGACAGACACCAUCUCUUUAUGGGAAUGUUAUUUUUUCAGGGCUACGAUUAGACUGUCUCUCUUUUUUUUCCUCCUGGUGGGAGAGUCAAUUAUGCAUCAGAGUCUAUUAAUCUUAUAAACAGUUAUGGAGCUGAAGAGGCUGAAUCGAACAGCUGAGGCUUUCAAGAAGUUGGAGUACCAGGGCCAUUAUUAUAAUGAAGUUUGGUGAUGUAUAAUCAUGUCUCUGGGUGACCAGGCACAAUUCUUUAAGUCUGAGAAAUGUAAAUGAUGUGAAUUUUUUACAAAGUUUACAAAGCAGCCUCUUCAAAGCUUGUGCUCAUGGCCACGAGCCCCCAGGUCCCCACUCUGGGGGGAGCACCUCCCUAAGCCCGAUCAGCCAGUCUCUGGCACCCUCAUCCCUGAUGGGCUGGCAAAUUCAAUGGACUACAAGGCACUUCCUCCUCCUCCUCUUCCUCCUCCUCCUCCUGUCCUGCCCACACAGGGCCUGGGAAAGAGGACAGCUGGGCUGUGGAUGCGAUUCUGUCCUCUUCUACUGAGACCUGUUUGUUUGUCUGUCUCUUAAAUUUGGUUCAGUGGCAUAAAAAAAGAGAAUUUAUCUUUCUCCCCAGAUGCAACAAACAGAUGCUGGGGAGCAGAGACCUUGCAUAGUCAAUAAAAGAUAAGUUAUAAAAUCUAUAAAACUGCUGAAAGAAAUCAGAAUUUCAGCAAAUUCUGUUUUUUUCUUAUUUUCAGGCUGCUCCUUUUGAUCAACAAUGGGGAGGGGGGGGAAAGCUAGUCGUGCAUAAACUUCCAUCUGUUAUUACAGCAUGGAAUGAAUGUGGUUAGAAGAGGAACAGAGGACAGAGUGAUAUUUGAGCUGUGAUAUUGACAGAGUGGAAAUAGAGAAUGGUGCCAGUGAUAAAGACAAAGCUGUCAUAAUCAAUUAGCAUUUAACUUUUUGUAAAGAUCUUGGAGGCUAUGGGUUCUUUAGAUUUUAAUGUGCGUCUUCAAAGUAAUCUUGUAAGCUAUUUAAAUGAUGCUCCCUUUUUACAACUCUACAUAAUUUGAUUAUACAAACCAUCCUGCAAUCCUUGGAUAUGCAAAUGCAACACCAAAAUGAUUUUUUCCCAUAUUUUGAUAGAAUUUGAUGUUCCUUGCAGUGAUAAGAAGUGACACAAAUUGCAGCAAGGCAUCAGUAACCCAUUCAUCUGGCACACUUUGGACAUUCAGAUUUUCAAUGCCUGCUUGUUGAGAAUCACCCUUAAGAAUAAAAAUUUAGGCUGGGCGCGGUGGCUCAUGCCCAUAAUCCCAGCACUUCGGGAGGCCAAGGCAGGUGGAUCACAAGUUCAGGAGAUCGAGA